CAAGGUUAUUGGAAAGCUCCAAGUCCCUCACACCAGAAUCACAGAAAGUGUUAGUAGAACAUGCACUAGAAGAGCUGGAUCAUCGUCAAAUAAGGGUGGUGUGCAUGACAAUGGAUGGUCAUGCAACAAAUAUCUGUGUGUGCACCCAACUUGGGUACGAUUUAAAAGCAGACCCCUGUAAGCCCUUGAAGACCCAUUUCCCACAUCCAGUAUCCCAUGACAAUGUUUUUGUUGUGAUGGAUGCUUGCCACAUGCUGAAGCUGACACGCAAUAUGUUGCAGGCAUACAGCCCAAUUAGAAGCAUAACUGGCCGUAUCAAUUGGAAGUACAUAGUUCAGCUGAACAAUGUCCAAAAGAAAAGUGGACUACCUGCUG
ensembl:lncRNA